rnacentral:rRNA from 1 species
CACGUAAGGGGCGAGCGUUAUCCGGAUUCAUUGGGCGUAAAGCGCGCGCAGACGGCUGUCUAAGCGGGACCUCUAAUCUUGGGGCUCAACCCCAAGCCGGGUUCCGAACUGGGCGGCUCGGGUGUGGUAGAGGCAAGCGGGAUUCCCGGUGUAGCGGUGGAAUGCGCAGAUAUCGGGAAGAACACCGAUGGCGAAGGCAGCUUGCUGGGCCAUUACCGACGUUGAGGCGCGAAAGCUGGGGGAGCGAACA